GAUGAAGAACGUAGCAAAAUGCGAUACUUGGUGUGAAUUGCAGAAUCCCGUGAACCAUCGAGUUUUUGAACGCAAGUUGCGCCCGAAGCCUUUUGGCCGAGGGCACGUCUGCCUGGGCGUCACGCAUCGCGUCGCCCCCCACAAUUCUCCGUAAAGGGAACGUGUGUUUUGGGGGCGGAUAUUGGUCUCCCGUGCUCAUGGCGUGGUUGGCCGAAAUAGGAGUCCUUUCGAUGGACGCACGAGCUAGUGGUGGUCGUAAAAACCCUCGUCUUUUGUUUCGUGCUGUUGCUCGCAAGGUAAACUCUUUAAAAACCCCAAUGUGUCGUCUCUUGACGACGCUUCGACCGCGACCCCAGGUCAGGCGGGACUACCCGCUGAGUUUAAGCAUAUCAAUAAGCGGAGGA
rnacentral:misc_RNA from 1 species